ACUUGACAGAAAAUUCUGGUCAGCAAAAGCGAAAGAAGAUUGGUGUAAUCCCUGGUUUAACUUCAAUUCAGGUUUUGGUGCCUACGUAGUUACAACACGUACAUGGCAGGCAGUCUGUAUUUUUGAAAAUUUCUUUAAGGCUGUAGCAUGGGGACGUGCACAGAGUUUGAGAAAGGGGGAGCCAUGAACCUCAAGACAAUUUUGCCCAAA